rnacentral:rRNA from 1 species
UGGGGAAUCUUGGACAAUGGGGGCAACCCUGAUCCAGCCAUGCCGCGUGAGUGAUGAAGGCCUUAGGGUCGUAAAGCUCUUUCGCCUGUGAAGAUAAUGACGGUAGCAGGUAAAGAAACCCCGGCUAACUCCGUGCCAGCAGCCGCGGUAAUACGGAGGGGGUUAGCGUUGUUCGGAAUUACUGGGCGUAAAGCGCGCGUAGGCGGAUUGUUAAGUCGGGGGGUGAAAGUCCCGGGGCUCAACCCCGGAACUGCCUCCAAAACUAUUGGUCUAGAGUUCGAGAGAGGUGAGUGGAAUUCCAAGUGUAGAGGUGAAAUUCGUAGAUAUUUGGAGGAACACCAGUGGCGAAGGCGGCUCACUGGCUCGAUACUGACGCUGAGGUGCGAAAGUGUGGGGAGCAAACAGGAUUAGAUACCCUGGUAGUCCACACCGUAAACGAUGAAUGCCAGUCGUCGGGUAGCAUGCUAUUCGGUGACACACCUAACGGAUUAAGCAUUCCGCCUGGGGAGUACGGUCGCAG